UCCUGGCCUCAAGUGAUCCACCUCCCUCAGCCUCUCAAAGUGUUGAGAUUAAGAUGUGAGCUACCAUGCCUGGCCUAGUGACUGUCUUUCAAAUUUCUUUUGAUAUUGGGCAGUGCCCCUGGCUACCCAAAAUGCAUGAGUUCAACACUGAAGGUUCCAAAGUGGUCGACUUGCUUCCAUACUCAGUGUCUCUAAUUCAGCCUUUAGAUCGGGGGUCAUAAGGGCCUUUAAGGCUCAUUACGCACAGUACUGUAUGGAAAGAAUUGUCAACACUAUGGAAAAGAACCCUGAGAGAGAGAUCAUCAUGAGAGUCUAGAAAGGUGAUAUCUUUGAAAAUGCCACCAUUGUUAUAGAAUAAAGUUGUAAAUGCCAUCAAGCCUGAAAUCACUAAAUUCCUGCUGAAGAAAACUGUGUCCAGAUAUGCAUGACUUUCCCAGAUUUAUGACAGAGCCAAUCAAGGAAUCAUGAAAGUGAUUGUGGUCAUGGCAAAAAAAAAAAAAAAAAAAAAAAAAAAAAAAAAAAAAAAGUGGCCAGGGGAGGUGAAUGGUUUCAAGAUAGGCAUCAUGGAGAAAUUCAAGAGCUAAUCAAGGGUCAACUGUAUUUUGAGCCUGAAGAAAUGAAUAUUUUCAAUACUUAUUUUCAUUCAUUAGUAUACUAAAAGGAAAUGAAAGUGACAGCAUCAAUCAAUACAGUCAUCAAUUUCCAUUAAAAUUAGAGUUGGGGUAAUUAACACAACAAAGCAUUCUCUAAAAAUAUUUGAAGGUAAUUAUACUUUUUUUUCUCACUUAUUUUUAGUAGCAUUGUCCUUUUGUAUUUUUUGGAUAGGUCAUUCUCCUGGAAAACACUUUUCCCGGAGAACUAACAAUUAAUUAUCUUUCAUCCAAGAUCCAAUAUUAGUGAAGUUGAACUGAGACUGGAAAAAGCAGCAGCAGCCUUCCGCGUCGCUGUUGCCGCCGCCACUUCCUCCGCCGCCGUGCGCCCUUCGGAGUCCCGCGCCCCACCAUGCCCAACAUCGUGCUGUUCAGGGGCAGCUCGCAUCAGGACCAGUCCCAGCGCGUGGCCGACCGCCUGGGCCUGCAGCUGGGCAAGGUGGUCACCAAGAAGUUCAGCAACCAGGAGCCCAGCGUGGAGACUGGUGACAGUGUGAGAGGGGAAGAUGUCUACAUCAUGCAGAGCGCUGCGGGGAAAUUAACGACAACCUCAUGGAGCUCCUCAUCAUGAUCAAUGCCUGCAAGAUCGCAUCAUCAUCCAGGGUGACUGCCGUGAUCCCGUGUUUCCCAUAUGCCUGACAAGAUAAAAAGGACAAGAGUCGUGCCCCAGUUUCUGCAAAACUUGUGGCCAAUAUGCUGUCGGUGGCUGGGGCGGAUCACAUCGUCACCAUGGACCUGCAUGCCUCUUGGAUACAGGGAUUCUUUUGAUAUUCCUGUGGAUAAUUUGUAUGUGGAGCCCGCAGUCCUGCAGUGGAUUCGGGAAAACAUUGCCGAGUGGAAGAACUGUAUCAUUGUUUCACCUGACGCAGGGGGAGCCAAAAGGGUCACGUCAAUCGCAGACAGGUUGAAUGUGGAAUUUGCUUUGAUCCACAAAGAGAGGAAGAAGGCGAAUGAAGUGGACCGGAUGGUCCUGGUGGGCGACGUGAAGGACUGCAUGGCCAUCCUCGUGGAUGACAUGGCUGACACAUGUGGCACCGUCUGCCAUGCCGCGGACAAGCUGCUGUCAGCUGGAGCCACCAAAGUGUAUGCUGUCCUUAUCCAUGGGAUCUUGUCUGGACCAGCUAUUUCCAGAAUAAAUAAUGCUGCCUUUGAGACUGUGGUCGUCACAAACACAAUUCCACAAGAGGACAUAAUGAAACACUGCACCAAGAUUCAGGUCACUGACAUUUCCAUGAUCUUGGCCGAAGCAAUCCGAAGGGCACACAAUGGGGAAUCCGUGUCCUAUCUGUUCAGCCAUGCCCCGCUAUAAAGCCAGAAUGGGAAGUGUCCAGCAAGCCUACUCUGACUUCUGACUUGUUUUUGUUUUCUGGAUGUUUAGCUGUAGGUACUCAGCAAUGAUAGGUUAAUCACUGGCAAAAGCAUCCGAUCUUUGUAUGUGCUAAGAUUUAUUGUUUCCCCUUCUAAAGCUCAAGAUCAUUUCUUUCCAGUUUUUGGGGAAAUGAUGGUGGUUAUUUGGUCUUUAAGUGAACUGUCUUAAAUGAGAAACAUUUUUGUCAUUUUGACUUUUAACGGGUACAUGUGAUCUCUUCCUUUGUUCUUUCAGUACUUUGAGGUGACAACUUUCAAGUAUAUAAUUUCAUUGUGGAAGUCAUAGUUUAUAUAUUUCAAGGUUGCCAAAGGUGACUUCAGAUUAAAGCCUUCUGUGUAAAUAUAUAUGAUAAUGCCUAUGGACAUUUGGGUAAAACCCUGUAUAGAAUUAAUUAGCCUUUUACUUUAGAGUGAACCUUGGAAAAUUUAUAAUUCUCAUACCAUGGAUUUUGAAUUUUUCUUUUUUUUUU